UACGUAGGGGGCAAGCGUUGUUCGGAAUUACUGGGCGUAAAGCGCGCGUAGGCGGACCUGCAAGUCGGGGGUGAAAGCCCGAGGCUCAACCUCGGAACUGCCUUCGAUACUGCGGGUCUCGAGUCCGGGAGAGGUGAGUGGAAUUCCUAGUGUAGAGGUGAAAUUCGUAGAUAUUAGGAAGAACACCAGUGGCGAAGGCGGCUCACUGGCCCGGUACUGACGCUGAGGCGGCGAAAAGCGGUGGGGAGCAAACAGG
rnacentral:rRNA from 1 species